rnacentral:miRNA from 1 species
AUCACUUUUAAGAUCGGUUCUUAAAUAAUCGAUCUUAAACGUACUUUUAAGAUCGGUUAAAUUUUAACCGAUCUUAAAAGUGCU